ACCACGCAUAUGUGUCUAUACAGCGCAUAAGUAUCUAUACAGCGCAUAUAUACACUGCUCAAAAAAAUAAAGGAAACACUUAAACAACACAAUAUAACUCCCAGUAAAUCAAACUUCUGUGAUAUCAAACUGUCCACUUAGGAAGCAACACUGACAAUCAAUUUCACAGCGGUGUUUGAGUCAGGUGUGCGGUGGUGUUUGAAUGGUUAACGGUGUUUGAGUCAGGUGUGCGGUGGUGUUUGGAUGGUUAAAGGUGUUUGAGUCAGGUGUGCGGUGGUGUUUGAGUCAGGUGUGCAGUGGUGUUUGAGUCAGGUGUGCGGUGGUGUUUGGAUGGUUAACGGUGUUUGAGUCAGGUGUGUGUUGGUGUUUGAAUCAGGUGUGCGGUGGUGUUUGGAUGGUUAACGGUGUUUGAGUCAGGUGUGCGGUGGUGUUUGAAUCAGGUGUGCGGUGGUGUUUGAGUCAGGUGUGCAGUGGUGUUUGGAUGGUUAAAGGUGUUUGAAUCAGGUGUGCGGUGGUGUUUGGAUGGUUAACGCUGUUUGAGUCAGGUGUGCGGUGGUGUUUGAAUCAGGUGUGCGGUGGUGUUUGGAUGGUUAACGGUGUUUGAGUCAGGUGUGCGGUGGUGUUUGGGUGGUUAACGGUGUUUGAGUCAGGUGUGCGGUGGUGUUUGAGUCAGGUGUGCGGUGGUGUUUGGAUGGUUAAAGGUGUUUGAGUCAGGUGUGCGGUGGUGUUUGAAUCAGGUGUGCGGUGGUGUUUGGGUGGUUAACGGUGUUUGAGUCAGGUGUGCGGUGGUGUUUGAGUCAGGUGUGCGGUGGUGUUUGGAUGGUUAAAGGUGUUUGAGUCAGGUGUGCGGUGGUGUUUGAGUCAGGUGUGCGGUGGUGUUUGGAUGGUUAACGGUGUUUGAGUCAGGUGUGCGGUGGUGUUUGGAUGGUUAACGGUGUUUGAGUCAGGUGUGCGGUGGUGUUUGGAUGGUUGACGGUGUUUGAGUCAGGUGUGCGGUGGUGUUUGGAUGGUUGACGGUGUUUGAGUCAGGUGUGUGUUGGUGUUUGGAUGGUUAACGGUGUUUGAGUCAGGUGUGCGGUGGUGUUUGGAUGGUUAACGGUGUUUGAGUCAGGUGUGCGGUGGUGUUUGGAUGGUUAACGGUGUUUGAGUCAGGUGUGUGGUGGUGUUUGGAUGGUUAACGGUGUUUGAGUCAGGUGUGCGUUGGUGUUUGAAUCAGGUGUGCGGUGGUGUUUGGAUGGUUAACGGUGUUUGAGUCAGGUGUGCGGUGGUGUUUGAAUCAGGUGUGCGGUGGUGUUUGAGUCAGGUGUGCAGUGGUGUUUGAGUCAGGUGUGCGGUGGUGUUUGGAUGGUUAAAGGUGUUUGAAUCAGGUGUGCGGUGGUGUUUGGAUGGUUAACGCUGUUUGAGUCAGGUGUGCGGUGGUGUUUGAAUCAGGUGUGCGGUGGUGUUUGGAUGGUUAACGGUGUUUGAGUCAGGUGUGCGGUGGUGUUUGAAUCAGGUGUGCGGUGGUGUUUGGGUGGUUAACGGUGUUUGAGUCAGGUGUGUGGUGGUGUUUGAGUCAGGUGUGCGGUGGUGUUUGGAUGGUUAAAGGUGUUUGAGUCAGGUGUGCGGUGGUGUUUGAAUCAGGUGUGCGGUUGUGUUUGGGUGGUUAACGGUGUUUGAGUCAGGUGUGCGGUGGUGUUUGGAUGGUUAACGGUGUUUGAGUCAGGUGUGUGGUGGUGUUUGGAUGGUUAACGGUGUUUGAGUCAGGUGUGCGUUGGUGUUUGAAUCAGGUGUGCGGUGGUGUUUGGAUGGUUAACGGUGUUUGAGUCAGGUGUGCGGUGGUGUUUGAAUCAGGUGUGCGGUGGUGUUUGAGUCAGGUGUGCAGUGGUGUUUGAGUCAGGUGUGCGGUGGUGUUUGGAUGGUUAAAGGUGUUUGAAUCAGGUGUGCGGUGGUGUUUGGAUGGUUAACGCUGUUUGAGUCAGGUGUGCGGUGGUGUUUGAAUCAGGUGUGCGGUGGUGUUUGGAUGGUUAACGGUGUUUGAGUCAGGUGUGCGGUGGUGUUUGAAUCAGGUGUGCGGUGGUGUUUGGGUGGUUAACGGUGUUUGAGUCAGGUGUGCGGUGGUGUUUGGAUGGUUAACGGUGUUUGAGUCAGGUGUGCGGUGGUGUUUGAAUCAGGUGUGCGGUGGUGUUUGAGUCAGGUGUGCAGUGGUGUUUGAGUCAGGUGUGCGGUGGUGUUUGGAUGGUUAAAGGUGUUUGAAUCAGGUGUGCGGUGGUGUUUGGAUGGUUAACGCUGUUUGAGUCAGGUGUGCGGUGGUGUUUGAGUCAGGUGUGCGGUGGUGUUUGGAUGGUUAACGGUGUUUGAGUCAGGUGUGUGGUGGUGUUUGAGUCAGGUGUGCGGUGGUGUUUGGAUGGUUAAAGGUGUUUGAGUCAGGUGUGCGGUGGUGUUUGAAUCAGGUGUGCGGUGGUGUUUGGGUGGUUAACGGUGUUUGAGUCAGGUGUGCGGUGGUGUUUGAGUCAGGUGUGCGGUGGUGUUUGGAUGGUUAAAGGUGUUUGAGUCAGGUGUGCGGUGGUGUUUGAAUCAGGUGUGCGGUGGUGUUUGAGUCAGGUGUGCAGUGGUGUUUGAGUCAGGUGUGCGGUGGUGUUUGGAUGGUUAAAGGUGUUUGAAUCAGGUGUGCGGUGGUGUUUGGAUGGUUAACGCUGUUUGAGUCAGGUGUGCGGUGGUGUUUGAAUCAGGUGUGCGGUGGUGUUUGGAUGGUUAACGGUGUUUGAGUCAGGUGUGUGGUGGUGUUUGAGUCAGGUGUGCGGUGGUGUUUGGAUGGUUAAAGGUGUUUGAGUCAGGUGUGCGGUGGUGUUUGAAUCAGGUGUGCGGUGGUGUUUGGGUGGUUAACGGUGUUUGAGUCAGGUGUGCGGUGGUGUUUGGGUGGUUAACGGUGUUUGAGUCAGGUGUGCGGUGGUGUUUGAGUCAGGUGUGCGGUGGUGUUUGGAUGGUUAAAGGUGUUUGAGUCAGGUGUGCGGUGGUGUUUGAGUCAGGUGUGCGGUGGUGUUUGGAUGGUUAACGGUGUUUGAGUCAGGUGUGCGGUGGUGUUUGGAUGGUUAACGGUGUUUGAGUCAGGUGUGUGGUGGUGUUUGGAUGGUUGACGGUGUUUGAGUCAGGUGUGCGGUGGUGUUUGGAUGGUUAAAGGUGUUUGAGUCAGGUGUGCGGUGGUGUUUGAAUCAGGUGUGCGGUGGUGUUUGGGUGGUUAACGGUGUUUGAGUCAGGUGUGCGGUGGUGUUUGGAUGGUUAACGGUGUUUGAGUCAGGUGUGCGGUGGUGUUUGGAUGGUUAACGGUGUUUGAGUCAGGUGUGUGGUGGUGUUUGGAUGGUUAAUGGUGUUUGAGUCAGGUGUGCGGUGGUGUUUGGAUGGUUGACGGUGUUUGAGUCAGGUGUGCGGUUGUGUUUGGAUGGUUGAUGGUGUUUGAGUCAGGUGUGCGGUGGCUAAACUGCUGUACCUGAAUGGGCGGGGCUAAUGUGAAUGUAUAUGAAUAAGUAUUUAGUAGAAUUCAGUAAAAUGCUGCGUUUUUAUUAAUAAAUGUGUCGUCCCAGUUUACGUGACUCGGUCCUGGUGUGCCCGGCAUGCGUUCGGCCCGCAGUGCUGGGGCCGGUUUUCUUUCGGAAUAAAGUCUCCAGGUUCCUCCGUGUCCGUCUGUUCCGGUCGGAUCCGAGCGCUAAACCGGCCGCUCCCUCGGCUCAGGUGCCUCCUUUGAGCCGGCCGUUUCUGAAGCCUGGCUCUUUGGUUAGAUGCUGUUCUUGGUGCUUGGCUGGUUUGGAGGAGGUCUCUCUGAGCCCUUUCUCUGGAGCCAGUACUGACUCUGCUGUGGCUCGACUCCAUUUGUUUAGCGUUUUUCCCAGAAUAAACGCUCCCUGCGAUGCCCAUGAAGAGAGGCGGCGUGUGUGCGCUCGCUGAAGCAGGCUGAGUGGAUCAUUUGUGAGAAAUAUCUUGGAAGAUGCUUGUUUGGUGCUAUUCAGGCUCCAUCCACCCACUCAAUCAGGAGGGAGUGGCUGGAAAAAAGCGCUAAAGAACCAUGCAGAGCGCUUUAGCACUCGCUCACACACUCGCGGAGCCCUUAAAGCGGCAGUCUGUGGUCGUUUAAACGAGACCAGCAGUUAUAAAGCUGCUGUAAAGCUUCACACGUCAGAUCAAGCGUUCAGACAGACCCUUCUCUCGUGAGCAGCUGGAACUGCGCUGUGGCUGGUUCUCCAGCGGCGCCGGUUCUGCCGGAUCAGUUUGUGUGAGCGGGUGGAGCUCGCCGGUAGGCGGGCAGUAAGGACUGUGUUACGAGAUGAUGUCAUCCUGUAACAAAGGAAAACGGCUGGAGUUCCAGCGAGACGUUUCAGCCAGCUGAGAAAAGUGGGUUCUGUGGGAGAGAGGUUCUCCCUCUGGAGGGAACGCUGAGCUUUAGGACUUUUACAUCAGGGGUGUCAAACUCAAUUGCACAGGGGGCCAAAAUUCAAAACACACUUUAGUUUGCGGGCCGAACAGAAUAAACAUUUUUUGAACUAACAAACUAAAACUAAAUGUUUUAACAUAAAUAUGAAUAAAAAUAGACAGGAAUGCUAUUCUGGAAUAACGAUGGCAUCUUUUUUUGGCAUCAAGUUGGUUUCUG